GCAGAGCCCAAGGCUGAGUGUGGCGUGCUGGAGCCCAUGGUAGUUGGGGUGUGGGUGGUGUACAGAGGACUUAGGAAGCACCUCAAGAGCUGAUUCUGUCCUACCAGGCACCCGCUUCCCUGCUCACACAUCUGGAUUCCAGCUGCCAUCCAAAGCCCUUAGAGGAUCAGACCUGGGCCUGACAAGCAAUCACCAUCCCACCAUGGGACCAGGCACAGGUGGGACUUGGCCGUCAGCUGCCUGAGGAGCUGCCAGAGCCCUGCGCACCAGCACGUGGCAGGAUGGGCUUUGCUGGGGAGGGCUGUGCAGAGCACUUUGGAAUUCAUAAACUGGUAAUUUAUUGAACAAGUCUUUGGAGAAGGGAAGUAAUGAAAACUGCCAUAUAAAUUACAGGAGCAUUUGGAAUCCUAUUGCUGGUGGGAGCAUGGCCGCUCCGUGGCCUCUGAUGGAGCCUGUGUCUGUGUCGAGACACCUGCUGAGGAGCGGAUGCCUCACAAAGCCACACCA